UACGAAGGGAGCUAGCGUUGUUCGGAAUCACUGGGCGUAAAGCGCACGUAGGCGGAUGUGUCAGUCAGGGGUGAAAUCCCGGAGCUCAACUUCGGAACUGCCUUUGAUACUGGCGACCUUGAGGCUGGAAGAGGUUAGUGGAAUUCCCAGUGUAGAGGUGAAAUUCGUAGAUAUUGGGAAGAACACCAGUGGCGAAGGCGGCUAACUGGUCCAGAUCUGACGCUGAGGUGCGAAAGCGUGGGGAGCAAACAGG
rnacentral:rRNA from 1 species